rnacentral:tRNA from 2 species
GGGGCUUUAGCUCAGCUGGGAGAGCGCCUGUUUUGCACGCAGGAGGUCGACGGUUCGAUCCCGUUAAGCUCCACCA